UAAAAAAGCUGACCUGUUAAUCACAGGAGUGGUUAGUUGUGCCCCUGUCUGUUUGCAUUGCACAUAUUGUGUCUAUUAGUGGGGUUUUCAUUUAGUAAGAAAAUGUAACGCUGGCCCUUUAAGAAACACAAGCGUGCAAUUACCUGAAAGUGUCGUUGCAAUUACCUGAAAGCAGUGCGAUCUCAUACCACGGUGUUCGUUGGUGCAUUGGAGCAAAAUUUACGCCAAAGUUUAGUGAAAAGUAAACUAGCAUGAGCUGUGCAUGCAUGAUAAAGGUAAAUAAGAGCUCCUUAGUGUUUUGCUGGUCAGUGUGGCCGUGUGUCGCGUUGAUUUCAGGGGAUUUAACCGGGACACAUUAGUGUGGGUGAACCAAAUCAACGCCGUCGCGUAAAGCGUAAGUGCUUGGACAUAAUCCACUUUAUAUACUGAGUAUGUUGUGUGUAUCUCUAUGUGAAACAGCAUGAUUAAAAUAUAGUUAUUUUAUUUAUUCAAGAGGGGAGAAAACUGCUCCAUAGGCCAUCCGUGUGCUUCCGGUGUGAGUGUGAAGCAUCAGAGUGAGUGUUAUUUCAUGUUACUGUUCCAAAAAGAAGAAACACAAGCUCCUCAUAUGCAGUGUUAAUUUGUGAUGUACUAGAGUGGUGAUAAACAGUAAGUUUGAAUCAGUUAUUUUGUUUUAUUUGAAAUGAGACAGUAUGUCUAUGGAUGAUGUUAUAUGUCAUGGUUGUGCUGACAAGGUUAUAUUUAUUUUUGUGUUUGCUUAUAGAAUGAGAGGCUGCUACCGUUGUCUAUGUAAUGCAUUUAUUUAGAGAUAAAUUAUCAUUUUGUUUUGAGGGACAAACUUUACUAAUGUCAACAACUGUACAUGAGUUUUAAGUUUCUUUCUGAUUCCCCGAAUUUGCACAAUUAACGCUGCUCUAUUUAAAGUGCAGUCUGGAAUAAAAGAUCCCAUCUAAAUUA